AGCGACAUGAUGGUUCCGUGGACUUCAACCGGACGCAUUCCGAGUAUUAGGACGGGUUUGGAUCCCCAUUCACAGAAAUGUGCCUAGUUUCCGAUAUGUGGACUAUUCUAAUGUCGUCGUACAUGCUGCCUCGGCCUAUUAUCGUCUUUAUAAUCACGGCACGAUGACCGGAAACGCAAGUGACGUAUUAAGUAAUAUUGAAGGCUAUUAUUUCGGAGCUUACGACCUGAAUCCCAAUGGCUGCGAUUGUCCUAUGUCAAAAUACGGCGGGUGGUGGCACGAUUGUUGCUUGACUCCAUGCGAUCUGACCAUGCCUUAUAACGACCCCACCUAUCCAUUUGGAUGGGACUGCAGCAACGAAACAAGUAUCAAGCUAACGAGUGUGAAAAUGAUGACAAGAAGAAAGUUGCUUUACAACAAUAUGUAGAACUUAUCGCAUGUUGACCGUAUUUAUAAAAGUCAGACUUGAGGGAAAUUUAUUUAAACCAUGGAUAACGUGUGUCAUAUAUAACAUUUAUAGUGUUUGUAAUCCGAAUAUUUUGAAAUGCUUGUUACUUUGUUGGUUUUCUAAAGUGUCAUUAUAUUCAAGCUUUUUAUACCUUAUUUUGUUGUGUUAUAGAAA